GAGGGUCAGCGCAUGCUGGGAGCGCUUGAGUCGGGCACCACAAGCGAUUAUGACACAGCCGUGGAACUUCUGACCGGACACUUUGCAGCCUCACAGAGCGCUCUCUUGUGACAUUUUCUGUUCCACCAAAGACACCAGCUUCCCGGUUAGUCCACGCAACAGUACAUAGCCAACUUGCGGGUAUUGGCCAGCACACGCAAGUUCGGUGCGUUGCAGGACGAAAUGAUUCGCGACCAGUUAAUUGAACAUACCAAUGAGGCAAAAGUGCAUGAAACUCUAUCACUGUCUCAAGCAGUCACGAUUGCAUUAAGAAUAGAGAGUGCAGCUGCAUGUGCAUUGGCUCUGACCAAACAGCAAACAAUCGCGGACUACUCGGCCCCCUCCCCCAUGCCAUCAUCGACGUUACAACCCAGCCAGAACGACACAUUGGCGGCAGCAGACUCCUCUGCAGUUAUGCUACUGAGGCGCCAGCAGCGGUCUCGGCCACACCCACAAGCAUAAGGCCCUGUGAUAACUCUGGAUCUUCAUCUCAUCUGUCUAGAGCACAGAACUGCCCAGCCCGUGGCCAAAUAUGCCGUAACUGUGCUAAAGGCAAUAAUUUUGCUUCAGUCUGCCGCUCUGCUCCAGCUGUGUCAGACCAAACACCCACUAUCAUUCACAAUGUCUACUCUGGGCCAGUCUCAUUUAAAGCCUGUUCAGUGCGCCUAAAUGAUGUGUGUAUCCCACUGCUUUUGGACACUGGUGCCAGUGUGUCUCUCCUGAAUAUGCACACAUACAGCACUUUUUUCGGAGCACUGCCACUUUCGGCACCUUCUGCUUCACUCUGUGGAUAUGGCGACUCAAAGAUUGACUUAGUGGGUUCCCUGCAAGUGACUGUUGGGUAUGGCAACAAGAUGGUGCCCAGCUUUACCUUCCAUGUUGCCCGUCACGGGGCCAACCUGAUGGGUCUGGAUUUGUUCUCGGCUCUGGGAUUUUCUCUUGUUGACAUGAAGGGAGCUGUGAUCCUGACAGUCUCCACGCCCUGGCAGGAAAAGUGGCCAUCCCUGUUUGACGGCUUGGGCUGCCUUACUGCUUUUGCCCAUCAACCCCUCCUGAACCUUUCCAUUAAACCAGUCAUCCAACCACUCCAACGCAUUCCCUUGGCUCUCCGUGAUGG
ensembl:lncRNA